rnacentral:lncRNA from 1 species
CAGAGGUCCUUCCAGGCAGUUCUCAACUUGCUCCUUGGCUGUUCUCCUGACACUUAAGUCAGAGCAUUCUGUAGCUGUAUUUUACAGAACUGUAAUUGCACAGAUUGUUCCUCUUACAAGAGAAAUAUCCAGAGCUCUAAGAAAACAACUGAUGAAAACGGUACAUGCGUGACAUUUGGUGCUGAAGACCCAGGUCAGAGAGACUCCUUUGGGGGACCAGUCCGCUGUCCUUGCCCUCACUCUGUGAGGAGACCCACCUACGACCUCGGGUCCUCAGACCAACCAGCUCAAGGAACAUCUCACCAAUUUCAAAUCGGG